rnacentral:rRNA from 1 species
GCAUUUGCAACCUGAGCUCAGACGUGAUUACCCGCUGAACUUAAGCAUAUCAUUUAGCGGAGGAAAAGAAACUAACUAGGAUUUCUCUUAGUAACGCCGAGAGUGGAAAAA